CAUAGUUAAAAGGAAGUUUUUAUUAACAGGAAGUUUUUAAAUUAAGAUCCACCUUUAAUAUUAAAAAAUAUGCUACAUAGUCUGAGAGCCUUAAUUCUAACCCAUGAAAACCAGUAUUUCAGUCCUCUCAAAUGCUUAACAGGUAAAAGCCAUUAACUACCAGCUACUUUACUAAAAGUAACUACACUGGAAAAUGAAAAUUUAUAGAUUAUUAGAAUAAAAAAGUCAGGAUAACAUUGUUUAGAAAUCUUUUUAUCAUUAGGCUAUUCUGACACUUUCCAGAACAAGUAUCAUUUCCAGAAAUUAUACAGGGUAAUUUAUUAAAUAUCAAUAUUUAGCAAUGUUUUGUUUAGUUGAAAUGCUAUUCUAAUUGGCAAGAGCUCAUCACCUUUUAAUAAGAGUACUCUGUAUGCAACAAUUCCAAGGAUCAUAGAUAUUCUUACUUAGUGGUUGAUAAUUAAUUGCCUGUUACAAAAUACACAUAUUGGACUGUUCAUCCAAAGCAAGGAUUUCCUAUAAAU
rnacentral:lncRNA from 1 species